rnacentral:rRNA from 1 species
GAUGAACGCUGGCGGCGUGCCUAAUACAUGCAAGUCGAGCGAACGGACGAGAAGCUUGCUUCUCUGAUGUUAGCGGCGGACGGGUGAGUAACACGUGGAUAACCUACCUAUAAGACUGGGAUAACUUCGGGAAACCGGAGCUAAUACCGGAUAAUAUUUUGAACCGCAUGGUUCAAAAGUGAAAGACGGUCUUGCUGUCACUUAUAGAUGGAUCCGCGCUGCAUUAGCUAGUUGGUAAGGUAACGGCUUACCAAGGCAACGAUGCAUAGCCGACCUGAGAGGGUGAUCGGCCACACUGGAACUGAGACACGGUCCAGACUCCUACGGGAGGCAGCAGUAGGGAAUCUUCCGCAAUGGGCGAAGGCCUGACGGAGCAACGCCGCGUGAGUGAUGAAGGUCUUCGGAUCGUAAAACUCUGUUAUUAGGGAAGAACAUAUGUGUAAGUAACUGUGCUCAUCUUGACGGUACCUAAUCAGAAAGCCACGGCUAACUACGUG